GGGCCCGCACAAGCGGUGGAGCAUGUGGUUUAAUUCGAUGAUACGCGAGGAACCUUACCAGGGCUUAAAUGCAGAACGACCGGCGUGGAAACAUGCCUUUCUUCGGACGGACUGCAAGGUGCUGCAUGGUCGUCGUCAGCUCGUGCCGUGAGGUGUCGGGUUAAGUCCCAUAACGAGCGCAACCCCUAUCUUUAGUUGCCAGCGGAUAAUGCCGGGGACUCUAGAGAAACUGCCAGCGUAAGCUGUGAGGAAGGUGGGGAUGACGUCAGAUCAUCACGGCCCUUACGUCCUGGGCUACACACGUGCUACAAUGGCAAGGACAAUGAGCUGCCAACCCGCGAGGGGAGCGGA
rnacentral:rRNA from 1 species